CAACGGCAGAAAGUCAGCGCUCGGCGAAAAAUGGCGACUGAGAGCGAAUGAGUGAAAGAGAGUAAAAGCGCCACUUGAGUGUAAGAGAGCACAACUGCUCUCAAGCCAAUAUUGAUAUAGGCAGUGCGCUUAGGAAUGCUACCUGGACACUGGGAACAAAUCACUCAAAACUCCUCGAAAACAGGUCACUCAACCCCCGAGAAUGAGGUCAACAAACCGCUCUCCCUCUCUCUUGGAGGCUUUGUCUUAGCCCAUCACCUUACAUGUGUGUCAUUGUGCUAUCCUAACUGAUUUAAUCUCAAGAAUAUACAAUGCUCAUUGCUUAUCUAUUUCAGGUGCCUCUUUCCCACUAUUCGCCAUCUCCCCUUUAUUCCUCUCUUUAUUGUGGUAUACCUGUGUCUCGUCACGGCUUUCAUCACCCACCGCGAUCAGCUGAUCGUGCGCAUGAGAACGGAGAGGGGAGAAAAUGUAUGAGGUAGUUACAAUUACGAUUCUAAUAGGGUCGCUCGCUUUACCAAAAGCGCUCAGCUGACCUCCUCGAACCAAAUAUGUAGGUAUGUACAUGUAUAACAUGUAUACAUGUUAUAUGUGUACGAAAAACGAAGCAAAGAGGAAAAUCUCAAACCCGAAUAAAAAAAACCUUAUAUGCGGAUUUUUGUGCGAUAAUAUAAUGCAAUAAAUAUUUAAUAUUUAAUA